rfam:Papilio xuthus contig15358, whole genome shotgun sequence.
UCCACGUCUGAGUUGGACGGGGGAUCUAGACAGUUUAAUGUACAAUCCUGCCAGAUCUAUCUUUCCAGCUCACGCGUGGA